GACUGGUUGGCUCAGUUGGUGGAGCAUGGGACUCUUGAUCUCCAGGUUGUGGGUUUUGAGCCCCACAUUGGGCC
rnacentral:tRNA from 1 species